rnacentral:sRNA from 1 species
GAGGAUCAUUAUCAUGUAAUUCAGUCAUGCUGCUGUGUGAACUGCUAUAAAUCCACUCUGUGUACCCCACCCUGUUGCUUCCGCUGGGCCCCCUGGGCAUUUUGGAGGAGCUUCCAAUGGAAGUGCGGCUCAGUUCUCUGUGCCGCGAUGCUUUGCGGCCUCCCCAGGCUGCUCUGGAGUUACCUGCCCAGCGGGAGGAUAGAUAAUAUCUUGGGUGGGACAGGUGGAGUCACUCAAAACAAAAAAAAAACCAACGAAAAUGUUAAAACUUUCAGCAACGGAUCUCUUGGUUCUCGCAUCGAUGAAGAACGCAGCGAAAUGCGAUAAGUAGUGUGAAUUGCAGAAUUCCGUGAAUCAUCGAAUCUUUGAACGCACAUUGCGCCUUUCGGUAUUCCGGAAGGCAUGCCUGUUCGAGAGUCAUUGACAAACCUUUCAACUCCCUUUUUUGAUCUAUUUGUUGGCGGGGACUUGGUUGUGGUGGAAGAGGAGAGGAAAACAUCUGUAAGAUCCUCCUCCCCGCCAAAACUCAGAGGCGGGUCUGUACCUAUCUGCUGCGUGAGGCGUUGUAAAUGCUGUCCUGCAGUUUUCGCCAGCAGCUGGUGAUACAUUGGGCUUACAGUCGUCAUUGAACCCCAUUAUUCAAAGGUUGACUUCGGAUCAGGUAGGGAUACCUGCUGAACUUAAGCAUUAUCAAUA